ensembl:lncRNA
AAAUUGCCAAGUUCUUUAACUAAGUUGAGUCCUUAGUGAGUCUGGAUGGAGCCACAAGAGGGCUCCUGGACCGCACGGCCUGCUCCUCGGCCAGAGCCUGUUAAGGAGCUUCCUUCUUCGUGUGUGACUUGCAAAGAGUCACAGAGCCUCAGGCAAGAAUCCAGGGGUACAGAUAGCCAGUUCCCAUAGAUGGUGACUUCCUCAUGUGUGGGCCACCUGUGUUUAGAUCACUGCCUGACAAAGGCCAGUGUAGAAAAAAUUGUACAUCCAAGAGUCAAGAACCUCACUACAUUGAAGAUAGAUUGGAAAAGUAAAUGCAGCUGAAAUGAUGUCAGCAGUGAAAUGUCAUCCAAUUGACCAAAAAAGAAAUAUUUUUCUACAAAACGUUUCCAGGGACAUGUUUACUGCACUAAGCAAUAGACACUUGAGUGGUGUGACUUUUUUGGAAGUGAUUUGGGGUUUUUCAAAUAUCACUUCACCCUCAUUUUCAGGGUGUAUGCCUUUAUGUCUGGCUUUGAUAAAACUGCUAAUGGAUGGCUACAUAAAAACAUAACGAUUCACGGACCCAAAAUACAGGUAGUUUUUGAGCUGACUGCAGCAUAUGCUCCUGAGAAAGGCACUGUACAUCACAACGGUGAAUGCUAGCCAGAUCUUGUUUUCUGGCAGAGAUAAUCCACAUGUAAUAAAGAGCUAUGAUUCUGAUGGGCUCUGAGGGAUUUUUUUUAAAGAGAUAAUCUCUGACACCACUCCAACUCAAGUGCACAUGGCAUGUCUAUGCACUGUGCAUAGUACACCUUUCUAGAAAAUUUGGGCAUCAACAUAAAGGGGAAAAGGCAUCAAUUAAUCCUCCAUUGUUUUCUGUAGUUCCUUUUUGCUUCAUUUCCUUCUGUCUCAUUUCAUUAGGAAAUACUUCCAGGUCAGGGGUUGUGUCAUGCCAAAAGGGGGACUAAAGGUUUUUUUGCCUGCAACUCCCUAAGACCGCAAGCCCAGGAUGUUGGGAGUUAAGCUUUCCAUGGGGAGGAGGAACCUGAGGCCCAGCACACAGCCCAGCUCCAAGGGCAUCGUGUAACCCUGGGGACUGACUGUCCAGGCCACUUCAUGAAGUAAACAGCAGCUGAAUUAUGGCCUUUAGGUGCCACAGGAGACUGAAGGCACCCUUCAGGCCUGGCUUUCCCCUCUCAAGACUUCAUGCUCGGCUCCUGUUCAAACCAUGUUUGUAUCUGCAGUCAUGCUGAUUUUUAAAAAUUCACUGAGUUUUUACUAUUUCAUUUCUGGCAUUAAUAAAAAUUAUAAGGAAGAAUCAU